rnacentral:rRNA from 1 species
UACGUAGGGUGCGAGCGUUAAUCGGAAUUACUGGGCGUAAAGCGUGCGUAGGCGGUUCGUUAAGUUCGUUGUGAAAGCCCCGGGCUCAACCUGGGAAUGGCAAUGGAAACUGGCGGGCCGGAGUAUGGCAGAGGGGGGUGGAAUUCCGCGUGUAGCAGUGAAAUGCGUAGAUAUCUGGAGGAACACCGGUGGCGAAGGCGGCAUCCUGGACCAACACUGACGCUGAGGAGCGAAGGCCAGGGGAGCAAACGGG